UACGUAGGGUGCAAGCGUUAAUCGGAAUUACUGGGCGUAAAGCGUGCGCAGGCGGUUUUGUAAGACAGAUGUGAAAUGCCCGGGCUUAACCUGGGAACUGCAUUUGUGACUGCAAGGCUAGAAUCUGGCAGAGGGGGGUAGAAUUCCACGUGUAGCAGUGAAAUGCGUAGAUAUGUGGAGGAAUACCGAUGGCGAAGGCAGCCCCCUGGGCUAAGAUUGACGCUCAUGCACGAAAGCGUGGGGAGCAAACAGG
rnacentral:rRNA from 2 species